UGGGGAAUAUUGGACAAUGGGCGCAAGCCUGAUCCAGCCAUGCCGCGUGGAUGAUGAAGGCCUUAGGGUUGUAAAGUCCUUUUAGCGGGGAAGAUAAUGACGGUACCCGCAGAAAAAGCCCCGGCUAACUUCGUGCCAGCAGCCGCGGUAAUACGAAGGGGGCUAGCGUUGCUCGGAAUUACUGGGCGUAAAGCGCACGUAGGCGGAUCCUUAAGUCGGUGGUGAAAUCCUGGAGCUCAACUCCAGAACUGCCUUCGAUACUGAGGACCUUGAGUCCGGGAGAGGUGAGUGGAACUGCGAGUGUAGAGGUGAAAUUCGUAGAUAUUCGCAAGAACACCAGUGGCGAAGGCGGCUCACUGGCCCGGUACUGACGCUGAGGUGCGAAAGCGUGGGGAGCAAACA
rnacentral:rRNA from 1 species